rfam:Schistosoma mansoni strain Puerto Rico chromosome 1, complete genome
GCACUGUUGAGGAGUCAUACAAUAGGACGAAACGGCCGUCCAGUAC